rnacentral:rRNA from 1 species
UACGUAGGCAGCGAGCGUUGUUCGGAGUUACUGGGCGUAAAGGGUGUGUAGGCGGUUAUUUAAGUUUGGUGUGAAAUCUCCCGGCUCAACCGGGAGGGUGCGCCGAAUACUGAAUGACUUGGAGUGCGGGAGAGGUGAGUGGAAUUCCUGGUGUAGCGGUGAAAUGCGUAGAUAUCAGGAGGAACACCGGUGGUGUAGACGGCUCACUGGACCGUAACUGACACUGAGACACGAAAGCGUGGGGUAGCAAACAGG